rnacentral:rRNA from 1 species
AUUGAACGCUGGCGGCAUGCUUUACACAUGCAAGUCGAACGGUAACAGGCCGCAAGGUGCUGACGAGUGGCGAACGGGUGAGUAAUGCAUCGGAACGUGCCCAGUCGUGGGGGAUAACGCAGCGAAAGCUGUGCUAAUACCGCAUACGAUCUAUGGAUGAAAGCGGGGGACCGUAAGGCCUCGCGCGAUUCGAGCGGCCGAUGUCAGAUUAGCUAGUUGGUGGGGUAAAGGCCCACCAAGGCGACGAUCUGUAGCUGGUCUGAGAUGACGACCAGCGACACGGGGACGGAGACACGGCCCAGACUCUUACGGGGGGCAGGAGUGGGGAAUUUUGGACAAUGGGCGCAAGCCUGAUCCAGCAAUGCCGCGUGCAGGAAGAAGGCCUUCGGGUUGUAAACUGCUUUUGUACGGAACGAAACGGUCUGGGUUAAUACCCUGGGCUAAUGACGGUACCGUAAGAAUAAGCACCGGCUAACUACGUGCCAGCCGCCGCCGUAA